UGGUGGGUAGUUUGACUGGGGCGGUCUCCUCCCAAAGAGUAACGGAGGAGCACGAAGGUUGGCUAAUCCUGGUCGGACAUCAGGAGGUUAGUGCAAUGGCAUAAGCCAGCUUGACUGCGAGCGUGACGGCGCGAGCAGGUGCGAAAGCAGGUCAUAGUGAUCCGGUGGUUCUGAAUGGAAGGGCCAUCGCUCAACGGAUAAAAGGUACUCCGGGGAUAACAGGCUGAUACCGCCCAAGAGUUCAUAUCGACGGCGGUGUUUGGCACCUCGAUGUCGGCUCAUCACAUCCUGGGGCUGAAGUAGGUCCCAAGGGUAUGGCUGUUCGCCAUUUAAAGUGGUACGCGAGCUGGGUUUAGAACGUCGUGAGACAGUUCGGUCCCUAUCUGCCGUGGGCGCUGGAGAAUUGAGGGGGGCUGCUCCUAGUACGAGAGGACCGGAGUGGACGCAUCACUGGUGUUCGGGUUGUCAUGCCAAUGGCACUGCCCGGUAGCUAAAUGCGGAAGAGAUAAGUGCUGAAAGCAUCUAAGCACGAAACUUGCCCCGAGAUGAGUUCUCCCUGAGACUUUAAGUCUCCUGAAGGAACGUUGA
rnacentral:rRNA from 1 species